GUUGUGGUUCCUCAGAUUUCCGAUUCAAGUUUGGCAUCUGAUUAUGGUUGUGGUUAGUUUGAGUUCCGGUUUGAGUCUGACAUUUGAUUAUGAUUUCCAUUUUAUAUUAUAUAUGUGGCAUCUCAUUAUUGCCCACUAUGUCCGAUUCGAAUCCGGCACGUGUCCUCUUGUUAUUAUCCAUCACUUUCGGUUCAAGUUAGGUAUCUGGACUCUCAUUACUACUCAUUGGUUCUGGUUCAAGUCCGGCG
rnacentral:lncRNA from 1 species